GCUUUGAUGAGAGGAGCCGUUACUUUCAAAUCCGAUCGAUGAUGAGCUGAGUUUUUUGGCGCGCGAGCAGCGCGAGGAUCAGUGAAGCGAUGACACUGCAGAGGAAUAGCAGCAGGGUGAGACUACGACAGAGAUGUGGACACCCCAAACCUGGAAAAAAUGGCUGAAGGAGUCAAAGCAGCAUAUGUCACGCCACCUUACCUGACCAUCACUAGUCCAACACACUUCACCCGUUAUCUGGUAUGGAGAAAAAGACAACAACUCAUUAAAAAAAAGAAGGUACAUUGAGAACCACGGUGUGAAUCAUAAUGUGUGGUUCAACACAACCACGCGACAAAGGAAAAAGUACUACAUGACACAGUUUGUUGAUGAAUACUGGGAUAAUGGCAGUCAACCCAUUUGGAUCACAGCUCAAAGACAGAAGAUAUUUUGAAGAAUAUGGGUAACCAAACAGUUGAUUAAUACUAUGGAAGUCAGUGGGGUCCAUCAACUGUUUGGAGUUACCAACAUUUUUCAAAAAUGUUGGUUCUACGCAGACCCAGGAUAUGUCAUCAGUGGGUUUUACCCACUUCAGACCCAAAAAGUGGAACAUGGCUAUGACAAUCAAGUCAUGGACAUGAAGCCUUUCUUCAGGGCAGAGGGACCAGAUUUCCAUAGUAACUUGUUGGUUGGACCAUUUGAGACUGUCAACGUUUAUCCUCUAAUGUGCCACUUACUGGGUAUAAAACCAGAAAUCAAUGACGGGUCACUGGAUAACACCCGACACAUGCUCAUAUCCAAUGGAGAGACAUUCUGGAGAUGCUCCUAAGUCUAGUCUUCAGAAUGUGUUCAUUGGUCUUGCUGCUGCUGCUAGAUUUUUAUUGCUUGUGUUUGUGGUUGUUACAUCCUACAACGAUAUAGAAGACGCAAAAUUAAUCCAAAAGCGAAAGAAAUAGGAGAUGAGGAUGAGAUGAAAGCCGACUCCAAGCAAACAUCAUUUUAAGAUAUUUAUAAGAUUGUAAUACUGUUCAGACUUCCAAUAUCACAUUAAGGUGGUGGAUCAUUAUUUAUAAUAGAUACCUUUAUCUCUAAUGGAAGAUCACAGAAUAAGCCUGUUAUUUUGUCCACUGAGCUUUAUGUACAUUUGUUUUCAGUAGUCAUCAUAAUACAUUACCAUGGCUUAAACAGCUACUGUAGCAUUUGACUAUGGUAGGUGAACUUGGUAGGCGGUGGUGGGAAGGUGCAUCAUAAACUGCAUUAUGAAAUGAAAUGUGUUUUGGGGUCAUGAAUGUGCAUCAUGCAGCCACAUAAAACAAGCAUGUGCAUUUCAGUUAAUGAAAGCCUGGGUCAAGACCAUGAAAAUACCAAUAACACAAGCAGACGGAAAGCAUGCCUGUGGUGUUCAGACCAGGUCUUCUGGUCUACAUCUGGUGGGUGUAUAUGAAUAUGGAUGUCUACUGUUCUGCAUAAUACUAAUGAAUAGAAUUGAGGGACUGAAAAUCUUAUAAAUGAAACCUAUAAGUUCUGCAUAGUAUUAUUGUGAAUAUCUAAUAUAAGUAUAUGCAACAGCACAAUGAAAUGACACAU